AUUGACCGCUGGCGGCAGGCCUAACACAUGCAAGUCGAGCGGAGCGGCGGACGGGUGAGUACUGCCUAGGAAUCUGCCUGGUGGUGGGGGAUAACGUCCGGAAACGGGCGCUAAUACCGCAUACUAUCAGAUGAGCCUAGGUCGGAUUAGCUAGUUGGUGGGGUAAAGGCCUACCAAGGCGACGAUCCGUAACUGGUCUGAGAGGACGAUCAGUCACACUGGAACUGAGACACGGUCCAGACUCCUACGGGAGGCAGCAGUGGGGAAUAUUGGACAAUGGGCGAAAGCCUGAUCCAGCCAUGCCGCGUGUGUGAAGAAGGUCUUCGGAUUGUAAAGCACUUUAGGUUGGGAGGCGUUAUCAACAGAAUAAGCACCGGCUAACUGCGUGCCAGCCGCCGCGGUAAUAC
rnacentral:rRNA from 1 species